rnacentral:rRNA from 1 species
CAGCAGCCGCGGUAAUACGAAGGGUGCAAGCGUUACUCGGAAUUACUGGGCGUAAAGCGUGCGUAGGUGGUGGUUUAAGUCCGUUGUGAAAGCCCUGGGCUCAACCUGGGAAUUGCAGUGGAUACUGGGUCACUAGAGUGUGGUAGAGGAUAGUGGAAUUUCCGGUGUAGCAGUGAAAUGCGUAGAGAUCGGAAGGAACAUCUGUGGCGAAGGCGACUAUCUGGGCCAACACUGACACUGAGGCACGAAAGCGUGGGGAGCAAACAGGAUUAGAUACCCCAGUAGUCCCUGUCUCUUAUCC